GAUGAACGCUGGCGGCGUGCCUAACACAUGCAAGUCGAGCGAACAGAUGAGGAGCUUGCUCCUCUGACGUUAGCGGCGCACGUGUGUGUCACACGUGGAUACCCUACCUAUAAGACUGGUAUAACUUCGGGAAACCGGCGCUAAUACCGUAUAAUAUCUUGAACCGCUUGGUUCAAUAGUGAAAUACGGCUUUGCUGUCUCUUAUAGAUGCAUCCGCGCCUCAUUAGCUAGUUGUUAAGGUAACGGCUUACCAAGGCAACGAUGCGUAGCCGACCUGAGAGGAUGAUCGGCCACACUGGAACUGAGACACGGUCCAGACUCCUACGGGAGGCAGCAGUAGGGAAUCGUCCGCAAUGGGCGAAAGCCUGACGGAGCAACGCCGCGUGAGUGAUGAAGGUCUUCGGAUCGUAAAUCUCUGUUAUUAGGGAAGAACAAAUGUGUAAGUAACUCUGCACGUCUUGACGGUACCUGAUCAGAAAACCACGGCUAACUACGUG
rnacentral:rRNA from 1 species